GCGCCUUUAGCUCAGUUGGAUAGAGCAACGGCCUUCUAAGCCGUGGGUCGCAGGUUCGAAUCCUGCAGGGCGCGCCA
rnacentral:tRNA from 2 species